rnacentral:rRNA from 1 species
UAGCGUAUAUUUAAGUUGUUGCAGUUAAAAAGCUCGUAGUUGGAUCUUGGGUCGGGGGGAGCGGUCCGCCCCUCGUGGGUGUGCACUGGUCCACCCGACCUUUCUGCCGGGGACGCGCUCCUGGCCUUCGCUGGUCGGGACGCGGAGUCGGCGAUGUUACUUUGAAAAAAUUAGAGUGCUCAAAGCAAGCCUAUGCUCUGAAUACAUUAGCAUGGAAUAACGUGAUAGGACUCUGGUCCUGUUGUGUUGGUCUUCGGGACCGGAGUAAUGAUUAAUAGGGACAGUUGGGGGCAUUCGUAUUUCAUUGUCAGAGGUGAAAUUCUUGGAUUUAUGAAAGACGAACUUCUG